GUUGUGGGGAAUGUUGGCUGGCUCGAGGAGCAAUUUUAGCUCUCUCCCGUCUGCACUGCUUCUGGAGAAGCGAAAAGCGCUUUUUCGGACCAGGCUUCAUUCCUCUCAAA
rnacentral:pre_miRNA from 1 species